CCUACGGGGGGCAGCAGUGAGGAAUAUUGGUCAAUGGACGAGAGUCUGAACCAGCCAAGUAGCGUGAAGGAUGACUGCCCUAUGGGUUGUAAACUUCUUUUAUAUGGGAAUAAAACGUUCCACGUGUGGGAUUUUGUAUGUACCAUAUGAAUAAGGAUCGGCGAACUCCGUGCCAGCAGCCGCGGUAAUACGGAGGAUCCGAGCGUUAUCCGGAUUUAUUGGGUUUAAAGGGAGCGUAGGUGGAUUGUUAAGUCAGUUGUGAAAGUUUGCGGCUCAACCGUAAAAUUGCAGUUGAAACUGGCAGUCUUGAGUACAGUAGAGGUGGGCGGAAUUCGUGGUGUAGCGGUGAAAUGCUUAGAUAUCACGAAGAACUCCGAUUGCGAAGGCAGUUCACUGGACUGCAACUGACACUGAGGCUCGAAAGUGUGGGUAUCAAACAGGAUUAGAUACCCCUGUAGUC
rnacentral:rRNA from 1 species